rnacentral:rRNA from 1 species
CGAGCGGAACGACUUAACUGAACCUUCGGGGAACGUUAAGGGCGUCGAGCGGCGGACGGGUGAGUAAUGCCUAGGAAAUUGCCCUGAUGUGGGGGAUAACCAUUGGAAACGAUGGCUAAUACCGCAUGAUGCCUACGGGCCAAAGAGGGGGACCUUCGGGCCUCUCGCGUCAGGAUAUGCCUAGGUGGGAUUAGCUAGUUGGUGAGGUAAUGGCUCACCAAGGCGACGAUCCCUAGCUGGUCUGAGAGGAUGAUCAGCCACACUGGAACUGAGACACGGUCCAGACUCCUACGGGAGGCAGCAGUGGGGAAUAUUGCACAAUGGGCGCAAGCCUGAUGCAGCCAUGCCGCGUGUGUGAAGAAGGCCUUCGGGUUGUAAAGCACUUUCAGUCGUGAGGAAGGUGGUAGUGUUAAUAGCACUAUCAUUUGACGUUAGCGACAGAAGAAGCACCGGCUAACUCCGUGCCAGCAGCCGCGGUAAUACGGAGGGUGCGAGCGUUAAUCGGAAUUACUGGGCGUAAAGCGCAUGCAGGUGGUUUGUUAAGUCAGAUGUGAAAGCCCGGGGCUCAACCUCGGAAUAGCAUUUGAAACUGGCAGACUAGAGUACUGUAGAGGGGGGUAGAAUUUCAGGUGUAGCGGUGAAAUGCGUAGAGAUCUGAAGGAAUACCGGUGGCGAAGGCGGCCCCCUGGACAGAUACUGACACUCAGAUGCGAAAGCGUGGGGAGCAAACAGGAUUAGAUACCCUGGUAGUCCACGCCGUAAACGAUGUCUACUUGGAGGUUGUGGCCUUGAGCCGUGGCUUUCGGAGCUAACGCGUUAAGUAGACCGCCUGGGGAGUACGGUCGCAAGAUUAAAACUCAAAUGAAUUGACGGGGGCCCGCACAAGCGGUGGAGCAUGUGGUUUAAUUCGAUGCAACGCGAAGAACCUUACCUACUCUUGACAUCC